UGCAGAGAGCUAGCAUGAGGCCCUCUGCUCCACUUAGGGGACUGAACUGGGACUGCACAAGAGGUUGGCUGGCUGAGCAGCUGCAGUGGAGUGCCUGAGAAGCCCCAGCUUGCCACAAACUGAUCUCCAAUCAAGAAAUGGAACCGGCAUGGAAGAUCAAUUUGGGGGAGGCCAGCACAGGGGAGGGGCUGUGGAUCCACUUUUAUGUCCCAAUGCCCAAAAAACCAUGGAGGGACUAUGACUGCUAUUCCAGCCCACAGUUUGGAGAAGCAGCUCUGCACACUGGCCCAGUGUUCCUUAAGCCAGAUGGAUUCUUGGAAUGGAUAAGGCACAUUUACAGCACAUACCUUCAAUGAUGUGUUUUCUUGAAAGCCCCCUUUCUGUUUCAGCUCUGCAAAGAUACACCAGCAACUGCUCCCUCCGUUCGUGGUCCUUCAUGCUGAUCUUGGACAUUCAGCCCCUCCAAUCCCCGUAUUCAUGGUCAGCAGUUGAGGGGGACUCAAGAGUCUCACAGGAAAUAUCCUCCCUAGUCUGCUUCUUUCUUCAAGUGAUCGGCGUCAGAUAUCCAGCUUGCAGAUGCUCCCUCAGCCUCUCUGUGCUCUGCUUGCAGCACAGGCUGCAAAGUGAAACUUACCAGAGACGCUAAUAGAUUACACUUUGAAGGCCAUUGGUCAUACUGCACAAUGAAAUGGAAGUGUGCACUGAAUCAAAUGUCGAUGGGGCUGUAUGUUUGAAUCCCAGUUGUAUUUCAAUGCUCUCUAGCUUGCAUAAUUCUUUUAAACGCUUGUUUUAAAAAAUUCCAAUCAUGCACCCAGUUCAGAAAUGCACCCUGAGGUGAAUGCAUUAUGGGUUCAAAACUGUCAGCGUGCCAGCAACAAUCACAUUUUCUUCUCUUCAUGUCAUUCAAUGUGGUGUUUUGUUGACCCAGAGGAUGGACAGAAUGUGAGAGAUCAUAACCCUGUGUAUGCUCAGCCAGGAACUGAAGAAGCAAUGUUUACUGUAGAAUUUUCCCCCAUUGCUACCCUAAAAUUUCCCACCGUUGCUAUCAGCACUAGUGCUUGCUUAGAUUGUAAGUUAUUCAGGGCAGGGACAGUUUCUUUAUAUUUGUACAAUGCCUAGCACUGUGGUACCUGGUGACACCACAAUAUAAAUAAAAGUGCAGACCAGCAGCCACCUGCAUUUUAACUACUGUGUCAUCUAGAUAUUCUCUGAAAAAGGUUAAAUGACAUGAUGGUUAAAAUGCCAGCAACUGUCUGUAGCCUUCUCCACCCUUUUGUACUCUCUAUUACUACUGCUGGCAGAAAUGCAAUGGUGCAACAUUUUACAGAAAAAGUCCAAAGUAAAAAGUAAAGGAACCAUGUUUCAGCUCUGUUGCAAUUGGAACAUUUUCUAACAUGGUUUGGCUGGCACCAAAUGGUGUUAGAACUGUCAACAAAAACUUAGGUUCUAGCCUGGACAGUGAAAGGGGCUAGAACAUGGUAUUAAAAGUGAUUUAACACCAUUUAGCCUUAUCCACAGUGGCACACAAAACCCUGGAUCUGAUCCUGUGAACACUACAAGGGAUAGUGCUUACUACUGAUUAUAGUCCACUGAUUUCGGCAGAACAGCACACGGUCAGAAGUGUUUUCAGGACUAAGCCCCAUGUUAGAAAGUGAUUUAGCUAGAACUGUGUUUAAAUUACAUUAAAAUUACGUUUCUUAAAGCUUAUGCUCAAAUAAAUUUGUUAGUCUCUAAGGUGCCACAAGUACUCCAUUUCUUAAAUUGGUCUUCAGCUCACUGUAGACAGUGUUCAAAACUGAAGUUACAGCCGGUCUCUGUGAAGAUCUUCUUUUGACCCCUCCUGCAUUCUUUACAGUAUAGUCAUGCAUUUUUACAAAUCUAUCAUUAAUAUAUAGUGCUGUAUAACACACCCACUUUUUAUUUAUUUUUAGCAAUACACUAGCUAUUAAUUCCCAAAUAAAGGACUACAUACAAGUGAAAUUAGCAUGGCUCUACAUCAGUGCUUAAAACAAACUCCCACUUUACAGAAAUCUGUCACUGAAUUUAAUAUACACUUGCCUAAUUAUUAAAUUACCGAACUGGUCUGCU